rnacentral:rRNA from 1 species
UUGAACGCUGGCGGCAGGCCUAACACAUGCAAGUCGAACGGUAACAGGAAGCAGCUUGCUGCUUCGCUGACGAGUGGCGGACGGGUGAGUAAUGUCUGGGAAACUGCCUGAUGGAGGGGGAUAACUACUGGAAACGGUAGCUAAUACCGCAUAACGUCGCAAGACCAAAGAGGGGGACCUUCGGGCCUCUUGCCAUCGGAUGUGCCCAGAUGGGAUUAGCUAGUAGGUGGGGUAACGGCUCACCUAGGCGACGAUCCCUAGCUGGUCUGAGAGGAUGACCAGCCACACUGGAACUGAGACACGGUCCAGACUCCUACGGGAGGCAGCAGUGGGGAAUAUUGCACAAUGGGCGCAAGCCUGAUGCAGCCAUGCCGCGUGUAUGAAGAAGGCCUUCGGGUUGUAAAGUACUUUCAGCGGGGAGGAAGGGAGUAAAGUUAAUACCUUUGCUCAUUGACGUUACCCGCAGAAGAAGCACCGGCUAACUCCGUGCCAGCAGCCGCGGUAAUACGGAGGGUGCAGGCGUUAAUCGGAAUUACUGGGCGUAAAGCGCACGCAGGCGGUUUGUUAAGUCAGAUGUGAAAUCCCCGGGCUCAACCUGGGAACUGCAUCUGAUACUGGCAAGCUUGAGUCUCGUAGAGGGGGGUAGAAUUCCAGGUGUAGCGGUGAAAUGCGUAGAGAUCUGGAGGAAUACCGGUGGCGAAGGCGGCCCCCUGGACGAAGACUGACGCUCAGGUGCGAAAGCGUGGGGAGCAAACAGGAUUAGAUACCCUGGUAGUCCACGCCGUAAACGAUGUCGACUUGGAGGUUGUGCCCUUGAGGCGUGGCUUCCGGAGCUAACGCGUUAAGUCGACCGCCUGGGGAGUACGGCCGCAAGGUUAAAACUCAAAUGAAUUGACGGGGGCCCGCACAAGCGGUGGAGCAUGUGGUUUAAUUCGAUGCAACGCGAAGAACCUUACCUGGUCUUGACAUCCACAGAACUUUCCAGAGAUGGAUUGGUGCCUUCGGGAACUGUGAGACAGGUGCUGCAUGGCUGUCGUCAGCUCGUGUUGUGAAAUGUUGGGUUAAGUCCCGCAACGAGCGCAACCCUUAUCCUUUGUUGCCAGCGGUCCGGCCGGGAACUCAAAGGAGACUGCCAGUGAUAAACUGGAGGAAGGUGGGGAUGACGUCAAGUCAUCAUGGCCCUUACGACCAGGGCUACACACGUGCUACAAUGGCGCAUACAAAGAGAAGCGACCUCGCGAGAGCAAGCGGACCUCAUAAAGUGCGUCGUAGUCCGGAUUGGAGUCUGCAACUCGACUCCAUGAAGUCGGAAUCGCUAGUAAUCGUGGAUCAGAAUGCCACGGUGAAUACGUUCCCGGGCCUUGUACACACCGCCCGUCACACCAUGGGAGUGGGUUGCAAAAGAAGUAGGUAGCUUAACCUUCGGGAGGGCGCUUACCACUUUGUGAUUCAUGACUGGGGUG